UAGUUGGUGGAGUGAUUUGUCUGGUUAAUUCCGUUAACGAACGAGACCUCAGCCUGCUAACUAGUAACGUUUAUCCUCUGUUCGCCGCUCGUGUGGUUGGCCUUCGGGUCGAUCGCUUCGAGUUGAACUCUUGGGGAUAGGAGAGAGCUUCGAUGCUUGUGGCUUCCUUGAAGUGGCAAUGUGUCGUGCUCCACGUAACUUCUUAGAGGGACUAUCCGUGUGUAGCGGAUGGAAGUUUGAGGCAAUAACAGGU
rnacentral:rRNA from 1 species